rnacentral:rRNA from 1 species
CCUACGGGAGGCAGCAGUGAGGAAUUUUCCGCAAUGGGCGAAAGCCUGACGGAGCAAUACCGCGUGAGGGAUGAAGGAUUUUGGUCUGUAAACCUCUUUUCUCAAGAAAGAAGUUCUGACGGUACUUGAGGAAUAAGCAUCGGCUAACUCCGUGCCUGCAGCCGCGGUAAUACGGGGGAUGCAAGCGUUAUCCGGAAUGAUUGGGCGUAAAGCGCCUGUAGGUUGUUUAUUAAGUCCGUUGUUAAAGCCUAGGGCUCAACCCUAGAAAAGCAAUGGAAACUAGUAGACUAGAGUAUGGCAGGGGUAGAGGGAAUUUCUAGUGUAGCGGUGAAAUGCGUAGAUAUUAGAAAGAACACCGGUGGCGAAAGCGCUCUACUGGACCAUUACUGACACUCAGAGGCGAAAGCUAGGGUAGCAAAAGGGAUUAGAUACCCCUGUAGUCCUAGCCGUAAACGAUGGAUACUAGAUGUUGUGCAUUAUGUACAGUAUCGUAGCUAACGCGUUAAGUAUCCGCCUGGGGAGUACGCUCGCAAGGGUGAAACUCAAAUGAGUGNGNGNGNGAGUGCGAGACGACGACGAGGAGAGG